rnacentral:lncRNA from 1 species
CAUUUCUCCAUCUGUCAAUCUCUGGUAUUAUAUGUUCUAGCUGUCUCUGGCUGGAGUUUGUUCCUCCUGUGAUUUUUUUUAGCCUUGGUCAGUACUCCUGGGAGACAAACUCUCUCCUGAGUUCCAGUGGUCAGAACACUCUCUGCAGACAAGCUCUCCUCUUGCAGGGAAGUUGCACAGAAGUCUGGAGCUCAGCUCCACCUCCUGAUUCCUGGGCUCAGAGCCCUUCCUGGUGGCUGAUUCUCAUCUGGCAGGGAAGGUGUUCAGGUGUCUGGGUCUCAGUUCUGCCUCCUGGCUGAGGAUGAAGCCCCGAAGGGUCCCUGUCCAAGAAGCUCUUUUGCUUCUGCCUCCUAAGUGCUCUCCUGCAUAGACUGGUCUCAGUGAUCCCAAGAUUCUCAAUGUGCCUUUGUCCUUUGACCCUAUUGCUGCUAGCACAUGACCCUCUGGGUUUUUUGGAUCUGAUGUUGCAUUCCAUUCACCAGUGAUCUCAAAGUGUCAGGUUUGCUAGUGUGCUGGCAGCAUGGGGAGUCCUUUGGGGACCUUAGCUGAGAUUGCUCCCAAGUUGGCGCAGGGGUGGGGCUGACCAGAAUGAACCCUAUCCACUGGUCGGGCAGGUGGGGUUCCCUGUUCCUGCCAGCACUAGACCCUCUGGGUUUUUGGAACUGGUGUUGCAUUCCACUUGCCAUUGAUUUCAAGUUUCCAGGUUUGCCUACAAUUUGGGGAGUCCUCUGGGGACCUUGGUGUUGGGGCCAGCCUGCGUCUCUCAUGUCUGGGUUCAAGCCUGGGAGGCAUCUUGGAACUGAAAGAAAAGAGGGAAUAUAGGCUGGUAGAGAGAGAAAUGGAGCCAAGACAGUAUAUUGAUCAAGACUCAAAUGUUUAAUGAUGAUCUGUACUUUUUAAAGAGGGAAGGCCAUCCCCAGUCAUGCCAAGUUCCUUGUGAAGUUGUCAGAAUUGGCUUUUAGCAUAUAUGAUCUUUGGGUAUUGGGCCAAAAGCUACCCUUGUCAUCUGAAAGAAUAAUUGUGGAAUUAGACAUGUAGAAUGUGUCCAUGUCAAAGGGAUAUUGUCUGUAGAGCAUGUCCCAUGUCAGAAACUGAUACUCUAUAAUAGAGAUCCCUUUCAAAGAUUGCAAGGCCAUUUCAAUGCUUAAUUACGUAAUCAAGAUCCCUUCUUGUUGACAUUUAAAGUGAUAAUAAAAAAUACUGUAUAGACAAGUUCAGAAGAUCAAAUUUUAGAAAAUAAUGAAAGAAAAACUUCUUUCUAGAUAGAGAUUUCUAGUAGAGAACAUUAGGGGAAAGGCUCAAGAACAAAUUAAACAGUGUUUAAUAAAGGACUAUCUCAUAAUAGCAUCACCAAUACUUAGCUUUGUUUUAGAGAUCAGACUCUAAAGCAAAAGAUUAGUAAAGAAGUCAUUAGUCAGCGCAUGAAAAAAAUCGGGUGCAGCUUAAAAGAUAUACAUUAUUGUGCUAGUUUAUAGCGUGACGAGAAUCUAAAGCUGGUGUUUCCCUAACCAGAACUGCUAAUUGAAAGAAAAUAAUGGUAUAUGUAGGCAGCUUAGAGUUUCUGAUGUAAUUUGACAGUCUAUUAGCCAUUCAGAAGAAUUCACUGUACAUAGUAAACAUGAUUCAGUUGUUUUGUUGGAACAUCUGUAAGAAAUGAGAGAAAUUGGUCAAUUUACUUGAGUAAAUUGUUUAGUUCUAAUAAGGGUGGUCAGUUGUAGAAAUAAAAAUGUUAUAACUUGUGACAAACAUAUAAUAUUGUAGAAUACUGGACUGAGUCACCAAACCUCUGAAAUUUCAGACCAGCUUAGGAAAGUAGAAACAAAGCAUUAUAGAAAAUAUUGGGGUGUAAUUACAGAAAGUGAGGUUCAAAAAUUAUAUAUUAACUAGAAUUUCUCAAGGUUGGAGUUACAUGGCAUAAAACUUGUCAAACAUACAUUUAUUAACUGUAUUGUCAGUGUUUGUGCAAGUGUGCAUGUAUGCGUGUGAGAGAGAGAGGUAGACAGUCAGAGACAGAGAGCAACAGAAAGAGACAUUUUAAAAGUAAAUAUAUGGUCACUUUAAAAAAAUAUGGUCACUUUAAAAAUAAAUAUACAGAAUAAUGGUUCAAAUAGAGUAGCUGGGCAUAAAACUUUACUUCACCAGCAAUCUUAAAGGAAAGUAAAAUUGGAUGGUGCUCUAAUAAAGGAUGUACUACGUAGGGUGUUUUACAUCACUAGGAUGUUCCUUUUAAAAGGAACACAAAUGGUUAGAGAUGAACCUCCUGUUGUAUAUGCUUUAUCUCAGUUGUAGUGGUUCAUCUUAAUUGUCAACUUGGACAGAAUCUAAAUUGCAUAGGCAAGCUUCAAGACACACUGGUCAAGGAAUAUCUUUACUGAGGAAAACCUCUGAAAAGGUCUAUGAAGGACUAUUGUGUUACUGAUAUGGGCAGACUUGCUAUAAGUAUGGGUGGAAACAUGUUCUGUACACAGGAUACAGGAUUGUGUAGAAGAGGCAAAGCAAACUGAAGACUUUCAUGGAUGAGUUCAACUUUGUUAUCUGAUAUGCCAUAUGACCAGCUGCUUUAGGUUUCUGCCUUGACUAUUCCCUUGAUGAACUGUAACUUAAACUUUGACGUGAAAUGUGCUUUUUUUUUUUAAUUUAUUUUUUAUUAGGUAUUUUCUUCAUUUACAUCUCUAGUGCUAUCCCAAAAGUCCCUCAUACCCUCCCCUACCCACCCACUCCCACUUCUUGGCCCUGGCGUUCCCCUGUACUGAGGCAUAUAAAGUUUGCACAACCAAUGGGCCUCUCUUGAAAAGUUCUUUCUUAAAUUGCCUUUGCUUUUGUAUUUUAUCACAGCAUC